CAACCCUCAAGCCCCAGCGGCCUGGUGUUGGGGACCGGCGAGCGAAGCCCCCUCCGGGGGGUUCACGCCGCCCCCGAAAUGAAUUGGCGGUCUCGUCGCGGCCUCCUCUGCGUAGUAGCACAACCUCGCAACAGGAGCGCGGCGCGGCCACUGCCGUAAAACGCCCAAACUUUUUUUUUUUUAG
rnacentral:misc_RNA from 1 species